rnacentral:rRNA from 1 species
AGGGAAUAUUGGACAAUGGGCGACAGCCUGAUCCAGCAAUGCCGCGUGUGUGAAGAAGGCCUGCGGGUUGUAAAGCACUUUCAGUUGGGAAGAAAAGCGUUAGGUUAAUACCCUGAUUUUUUGACGUUACCAACAGAAGAAGCACCGGCUAACUCUGUGCCAGCAGCCGCGGUAAUACAGAGGGUGCGAGCGUUAAUCGGAAUUACUGGGCGUAAAGCGUGCGUAGGCGGCUAAGUUAGUCGGAUGUGAAAGCCCAAGGCUUAACCUUGGAAUGCCAUUCGAUACUGCUUGGCUAGAGUACAGUAGAGGGAAGCGGAAUUCUUAGUGUAGCGGUGAAAUGCGUAGAUAUUAGGAAGAACACCAGUGGCGAAGGCGGCUUCCUAGACUGAUACUGACGCUGAGGUACGAAAGCGUGGGGAGCAAACA